GCGCCCUUAGCUCAGUCGGUAGAGCGCUUCAUUUACACUGAAGAUGCCGGGGGUUCGAGUCCCUCAGGGCGCA
rnacentral:tRNA from 1 species